rnacentral:tRNA from 1 species
CGGGCGGGGCGCUGGGGGGCGGGGCGUUCGCGCCGCUCCCUCGGUGAGCCCCAGCGCGACGCCCGGGCGUUCGGGUUGCCCCGGGCCGG